rnacentral:rRNA from 1 species
UACGGAGGGGGCUAGCGUUGUUCGGAAUUACUGGGCGUAAAGCGCACGUAGGCGGCUUUGUAAGUUAGAGGUGAAAGCCCAGGGCUCAACCCUGGAAUUGCCUUUAAGACUGCAUCGCUUGAACAUCGGAGAGGUAAGUGGAAUUCCGAGUGUAGAGGUGAAAUUCGUAGAUAUUCGGAAGAACACCAGUGGCGAAGGCGACUUACUGGACGACUGUUGACGCUGAGGUGCGAAAGCGUGGGGAGCAAACAGG